AUACAUCUAACUGUUUUUUGAACAGUCUGAACUUGGUAUGUUGGGAGCUAACAUCAAAGAACUAUUUUCCCCCAUUCACAUGAGGACUGUGUCAAAUCUGCCUCCUAUCACUUAAGGAGGUUUUGGGAAAAUCAUUCACUUUCGUUUCUAUCACUUCCAGUAACUUAACAGUACGGCUCAGAUGUAAAACUCCCCUUUUACUUGUUCCUGUCACUUCAGCCCAAGCUUGUCUCAUGAUCUAAAAAUCUGUAAUAGGGAAGAGGGUGUGGUCUGAUCUUUCCCCUUCUAUUUUACCUCAUCUAGUUCCAGAUUCUCAAAUCAUAUAGGGCCAGGAGGAGAGGACCAAAUUAUGUCUUAGUUACCUGGCUGCUGGUGGUUGUCUCUGUUUUUUGUAGAGCACAGGUGUAACGGCUUUCAGGGUGGGGGUGGGGAACUCUCCACUGAGUAGUGUGCUGAUGUGGGAGAUCUCUGGCUUGGCCUCUUCCGGCCCUCCUCCCACUCAGCUCCCACCAAUGAUGUAUCAAUAAAACCUCUUGCUGCUGGAGAUCUGCUUACCUGGUGGCCAGGGUGGCAAGACAAGUGAAGCCUGACUAUGCCUGCAGCAUCCACUGUGGAAACUACUACAUCUUUGCCAUGCCAAACACUUCUGCUUAAGCAUGCAGGUGAGAAGGGAAGAUACAUGUAAUCUGCAUGUCUGCCACCAUUCCUUGUUACCCUUUUUCAUAUCCCAUGAGCACAGCACUCCAGCGGACCUACCCAAAAUAUGUGGGAGUUCAGUGAAACUCAAACAGCAUGCUUCUGGUCAGCCUAUACAGUCUCUGUCCUGGUGAGGAGCAUGAUCACCAACAGGCAAGAUCUUCUGGCCUUGAAGUUUCGCUUGAGUUAAAAGAGCUCAUCUCAGGACUUUCUGAAUUUUCAGCCCAUAUGACAUGGAAGAAGAGUUAGAAGGGGAAUCUGACUGCUUGGAUCAGGGACUGUCUGGCUGGUGGAACUUGAAUGUGCUGUUGUCCUCUUUCUGGACCUUAGAGAUGUACAGUGCGCCACUCUGAGGAUCAAGUCUGACCCUGCCUUUAAAUUUGGAUUCAAAGUACUUAGAUUUUCUGGAAUCCCAUUCUACAAUCUUCUGGUCGAAAGUAUAAAACCAGUCUCUCAUUGCACCUUACGAGAAACACCCACAGGUGUGGAGGGGCAACCCACCCCUUCAUCUGGUGCCCAACGUGGAGGCUUUUCUCUGGGGUGAAGGUACACUCGAGCGUGGUCAUUGAGGACAAGUCGACAAGAGAUCCCGAGUACAUCUACAGUCAGCCUUACGGUAAGCUUGUGCACUCGGAAGAAGCUAGGGUGACAAUGGGGCAAACUAAAACUAAAAGUAAAUAUGCCUCUUAUCUUAGCUUCAUUAAAAUUCUUUUAAAAAGAGGGGGAGUUAGAGUAUCCACCAAAAAUCUAAUCAAGCUAUUUCAAACAACAGAACAAUUUUGCCCAUGGUUUCCAGAACAAGGAAAUUUAGAUCUAGAAGAUUGGAAAAGAAUUGGUAAGGAACUAAAACAAGCAGGUAGGAAGGGUAAUAUCAUUCCACUUACAGUAUGGAAUGAUUGGCCCAUUAUUAAAGCAGCUUUAGAACCAUUUCAAACAGAAGAUAGCGUUUCAGUUUCUGAUGCCCCUGGAAGCUGUAUAAUAGAUUGUAAUGAAAA
rnacentral:lncRNA from 1 species